CUUGAAAGACAGGCGUGAAAGCCCCGGGCUUAACCUGGGAAUUGCGCUUGAUACUCUGAGACUGGAGUGCGGGAGAGGAGAGUGGAAUUCCCAGUGUAGAGGUGAAAUUCGUAGAUAUUGGGAAGAACACCAGUGGCGAAGGCGGCUCUCUGGACCGGAACUGACGCUGAGGCGCGAAAGCGUGGGGAGCAAACAGGAUUAGAUACCCUGGUAGUCCACGCCGUAAACGAUGUGCGCUAGACGUUGGAAGGCUUAGCCUUUCGGUGUCGAAGCUAACGCGGUAAGCGCACCGCCUGGGGAGUACGGCCGCAAGGUUAAAACUCAAAGGAAUUGACGGGAGCCCGCACAAGCGGGGGAGCAUGUGGUUCAAUUCGACGCACCGCGAAGAACCUUACCAGCUCUUGACAUGUCCAGUAUGGGGCCAAGAGAUCGGCUUCUUCAGUUCGACUGGCUGGAACACAGGUGCUGCAUGGUUGUCGUCAGCUCGUGUCGUGAGAUGUUGGGUUAAGUCCCGCAACGAGCGCAAUCCUCAUCUUCAGUUGCCAUCAGGUUAAGCUGGGCACUCUGAAGGAACUGCCGGUGACAAG
rnacentral:rRNA from 1 species